UGCCAAGGCCAGAGUUUCACUGCUUUACUGGGACUGGCCUAGAACUUGCUAUGCAACUAAGGCCUUGAGUUCACAGUCUUUCUGCCUCAGCCUCACACAUACUGGGAUUGCAGGUGCAAAGUCAAGGUGUUCUGUAACUGUGGUCUGGGGCUAAAUUGGGAGACUGACUGACUGUGCUCUUCUCUUUAAAUUGGAUUUUGCGGUCAGGAGAGGGUGGUUUGGAGGAAGCAGGAGGAACCAGUAGUUCCUAGCUUCCUGACUUCCCCAAUAGGCUAGGGAGCCUGUUGGAAGGGCUUCCCACAGGCAGGCAGGCAGGCUAGAAAGAAGCUAUGGGAACCUCGUAGACCUUGGUGCUGCCGUUCCAGCACCAGGAGUGCCCACUGCUGCUCCUCCAGGCUCCUGGAUCCUGCUGGUGGAGUGUCUUUGUUCCCAUGACUCACUCACAUUCAGGGCCCUGCUGAGCUUGCUGUCCAGAAGCUGCUAGCAGGACUGGAUGCUGCUGAUUCAGGUUCCCUGUGGGAGCUGCUCGCAGACCUGGGCCAUGAACAGUUUUAAUUUAUGCACGUUUUAUCCCGUGGCUUCUCCCUGCUAGGUGACUUGUAAAUCUCUUACCUUCUGUGAACCCUGAAGCGUGGUUGGUGGAGGAAGGAGUAAGGGCUUUGAUGGUACAUGUCUGGUGGCUUAUUUCUGCCAAAAGAGUCCCUGCCUGUGAGUCCUGGCAAAGACUGUUGAGUGGCCCAAGAGCAUCUUGUCCUGGCAGGUUUUGCACAUUGACAGUUAGAUUGUCUGCGUUUGUAAUUUGUCAGCAUUUAACCCCCAGGUUUUGGGUUUUUACGUGUAUCCGCCAUGAAUUUAAUGUGGUUCUGUUAAACAGUGGCUUAAAUCUCAUUUUAAAAUAUGAGGUUAACAUAGGUUAAUAUUCAUAACAGUCCUAAGAGGUAGUGUCUUACAGGAACAGUGGUUAAGGCUGAGGUUCUGCUUUUCGUGGGGUGUGGAAUAGGGAACAGCCCAGGUCCUCUCUCUGCCUUGCCUUCUGCUGACCUAGGCAAUUUCUUAUCCACCCCUGGGACUAGCCUGCACGACUCACGGGAAGGAUUGACCAAACCAAAAACCAGGAGAUCUCAUGUGUUUUGGGAGUGGGGUGGGCUAGCUCUGGCUGACUUGGAACUCCCUAUGUAGACCAGGCUGGCCUUGAACUAACAGAGAUCUAGCAGCCUCUGCUAUCUGAAUGUUGGGAUUAAAGGUGUGUGCUCUCAUUUUUAAGUGUUUUUCCUUCUUUCCUGGGCCUAUAUCCGUGUGGGUACCUGCUCUUAAAGACUUAGGGACAAAGGAUGGUUUAACUGGGCACAGCCCCAUCCCAGACCCUGUUGUCUGUGUUCCUGCUGGGCCUCACAGGCUGCACGUGGAAGGGAUCUUCCCAGGGGGCCUGCGUCACCCCGGGCAGACAGACAGCUCCUGACAUCAUGCCUUUCCCAGCCAGGUGACUUGGGCUUCCUCUUGCACAUCUGUGUUGACACCCUGAGUGAGAGACUCCAUGAAGGACUUAGCAGACAGGAAGUUUGUCCUGACUGAUGGGCUGCAGCCUCUGGGGCUUCGGUUUUGCCAUUUCUUGUCAUGCUUGUGAGAGUCUGGAAUGAUGUCCGACUUGGUGGAGGGGUCAGAUUCUGGCUCCUGCCUUUCAUUGCAGGUGACCUUUGUAAGGUCAUUGCUCUCUUCAGGCUAGGGGACUGGGUCCCUCUGGUUCCCUUCCAGACCCAGGCCUUCCUAACUCCUCUCCUCUAAGGCUCUCUUUGCUGCUGGCCUAAAGGGGGGUGGAGGAGGGAGGGACGAAAGUUAAUGAGUAACUUCAGCUCUGACUUCUGAUGGAGGACAGGGAUUGUUUAGAGAGACAGCUGCCUGUCUGAGGUGGCCUGUUCCGCAGCCUCCCUUCUGGCCUGUCCCUUCCCUUCCCUUCUCAUGGACCUUAUAUUUGGGCUCCCCUCUGCUUUCACUGUACUGCUAAUUUCUUCCUUUUUCUUUUACAAUUCUGCUCUGGGAAUGAGACUCAGGGUUUCACGUGUGCCAGGAAAGCUCUCUAACCAGUCACAGCCCAGCUUCUGAUCAGCAGCCUUUAUUUGCAGGGUGGCUGCAACAGAGGCCCUGUGGCUGCUGGCUUCAGCCUUACAGCUCUAGCUUCAGUUGGAGCCACAGCCAGCGAGGCAAGAACACCACCAGCCUCCGAGAACUUUGGCUUCUAAACCAACACAACCCAAAAAGCCAGGCGGAACUGGGCUGGGCUGUGAGAACGGGAAGAACGCGCAGGAGCGUCUUUUGGCCACAUGAGCCUCACAUCCUGAGAGCUCAGUUUGUACUCCAGGGCCAAAUGUAGCAUUUUACUUUUUCUGACCCAUCCCUUGGUGAACAUUGUGUGCGCUUUGACCUUGCCACACCCUUCCAUCCUGUUUCCCCUCUUGCAGUGGGGUAUCUGGAAGUGACUUUCUGAACCUUGUAACUGUCUCUGCUCACAGAGCCAAUAUUUGCUGAACCGUUUGCUCUUGUGUGUGACGCAGGUAGAGAAUAGCCAGGAGACCUUGAAGGGACAGGAAGCCCCUAGAUGUUUCUGGGACACCUUGACUUGUUGGGGAGACCUAACUGUCCCUGCAGGAUCUCUGAAGGGCCCACGAUCUCUGGGCAGUAUUUUGUUUGGUUUUGGUUUGGUAACUUAGAGCAACUUUGUGCAGAUUUG
rnacentral:lncRNA from 1 species